rnacentral:rRNA from 1 species
UACGUAGGGGGCAAGCGUUGUCCGGAUUUAUUGGGCGUAAAGAGCGUGUGGGCGGCCAGAUAGGUCCGUUGUGAAAACUGGAGGCUUAACCUCCAGCUGUCGAUGGAAACCAUCUGGCUAGAGUCCGGAAGAGGAGAGUGGAAUUCCUGGUGUAGCGGUGAAAUGCGCAGAUAUCAGGAAGAACACCCGUGGCGAAGGCGGCUCUCUGGGACGGUACUGACGCUGAGACGCGAAAGCGUGGGGAGCAAACAGG